CCUACGGGAGGCAGCAGUGGGGAAUAUUGCGCAAUGGGGGAAACCCUGAUGCAGCAACGCCGCGUGAAGGAAGACGGUUUUCGGAUUGUAAACUUCUGUUCUUAGUGAAGAAGAAUGACGGUAGCUAAGGAGCAAGCCACGGCUAACUACGUACCAGCAGCCGCGGUAAUACGUAGGUGGCAAGCGUUGUCCGGAAUUACUGGGUGUAAAGGGAGCGCAGGCGGGAAGCCAAGUCAGCUGUGAAAACUACGGGCUUAACUUGUAGACUGCAGUUGAAACUGGUUUUCUUGAGUGAAGUAGAGGUU
rnacentral:rRNA from 1 species